AAGCUACUAAGAGCGAAUGGUGGAUGCCUUGACUGGUAAAGGCGAUGAAGGACGUACUAGACUGCGAUAAGCUACGGGGAGCUGUCAAGAAGCUUUGAUCCGUAGAUUUCCGAAUGGGGCAACCCAAUGUAUAGAGAUAUACAUUACCUAUAUAGGAGCGAACGAGGGGAAUUGAAACAUCUUAGUACCCUCAGGAAAAGAAAUCAAUAGAGAUUGCGUCAGUAGCGGCGAGCGAAAGCGCAAGAGGGCAAACCCAGUGCUUGCACUGGGGGUUGUAGGACUGCAAUGUGCAAGAGGUAAGUUUAGCAGAACAUUCUGGAAAGUAUAACCAUAGAGGGUGAUAGUCCCGUAUGCGAAAAACAAACCUUAGCUAGCAGUAUCCUGAGUAGGGCGGGACACGAGGAAUCCUGUCUGAAUCCGGGUCGACCACGAUCCAACCCUAAAUACUAAUACCAGAUCGAUAGUGCACAAGUACCGUGAGGGAAAGGUGAAAAGAACUGAGGUGAUCAGAGUGAAAUAGAACCUGAAACCAUUUGCUUACAAUCAUUCAGAGCCCUAUGUAGCAAUACAGGGUGAUGGACUGCCUUUUGCAUAAUGAGCCUGCGAGUUGUGGUGUCUGGCAAGGUUAAGCAAACGCGAAGCCGUAGCGAAAGCGAGUCUGAAUAGGGCGCUUAGUCAGAUGCUGCAGACCCGAAACGAAGUGAUCUAUCCAUGAGCAAGUUGAAGCUAGUGUAAGAACUAGUGGAGGACUGAACCCAUAGGCGUUGAAAAGCCCCGGGAUGACUUGUGGAUAGGGGUGAAAGGCCAAUCAAACUUCGUGAUAGCUGGUUCUCUCCGAAAUAUAUUUAGGUAUAGCGUUGUGUCGUAAUAUAAGGGGGUAGAGCACUGAAUGGGCUAGGGCAUACACCAAUGUACCAAACCCUAUCAAACUCCGAAUACCUUAUAUGUAAUCACAGCAGUCAGGCGGCGAGUGAUAAAAUCCGUCGUCAAGAGGGAAACAACCCAGACUACCAGCUAAGGUCCCUAAGUCUUACUUAAGUGGAAAACGAUGUGAAGUUACUUAAACAACCAGGAGGUUGGCUUAGAAGCAGCCAUCCUUUAAAGAAAGCGUAAUAGCUCACUGGUCUAGUGAUUUUGCGCGGAAAAUAUAACGGGGCUAAAGUAAGUACCGAAGCUGUAGACUUGCACACAACUUAGAUUAUUUAAGUUUAGAAUAUGAGAAACUAAGUUAUAUGUUUAGUUAUAUUUUUACUGAUUUUUAUAGAGUAAAGAUAGAAAUAAAACUUAGUAAAAUCAGUAAAAAUAUUCUUAGACUAAAGUUAAGUAGUUUAAGUUGUGUGCAAGUGGUAGGAGAGCGUUCUAUUUGCGUCGAAGGUAUACCGGUAAGGAGUGCUGGAGCGAAUAGAAGUGAGCAUGCAGGCAUGAGUAGCGAUAAUUAAUGUGAGAAUCAUUAACGCCGUAAACCCAAGGUUUCCUACGCGAUGCUCGUCAUCGUAGGGUUAGUCGGGUCCUAAGUCGAGUCCGAAAGGGGUAGACGAUGGCAAAUUGGUUAAUAUUCCAAUACCAACAUUAGUGUGCGAUGGAAGGACGCUUAGGGCUAAGGGGGCUAGCGGAUGGAAGUGCUAGUCUAAGGUCGUAGGAGGUUAUACAGGCAAAUCCGUAUAACAAUACUCCGAGAACUGAAAGGCUUUUUGAAGUCUUCGGAUGGAUAGAAGAACCCCUGAUGCCGUCGAGCCAAGAAAAGUUUCUAAGUUUAGCUAAUGUUGCCCGUACCGUAAACCGACACAGGUGGGUGGGAUGAGUAUUCUAAGGCGCGUGGAAGAACUCUCUUUAAGGAACUCUGCAAAAUAGCACCGUAUCUUCGGUAUAAGGUGUGGUUAGCUUUGUAUUAGGAUUUACUCCGAAAGCAAGGAAACUUACAACAAAGAGUCCCUCCCGACUGUUUACCAAAAACACAGCACUCUGCUAACUCGUAAGAGGAUGUAUAGGGUGUGACGCCUGCCCGGUGCUCGAAGGUUAAUUGAUGGGGUUAGCAUUAGCGAAGCUCUUGAUCGAAGCCCGAGUAAACGGCGGCCGUAACUAUAACGGUCCUAAGGUAGCGAAAUUCCUUGUCGGUUAAAUACCGACCUGCAUGAAUGGCGUAACGAGAUGGGAGCUGUCUCAAAGAGGGAUCCAGUGAAAUUGUAGUGGAGGUGAAAAUUCCUCCUACCCGCGGCAAGACGGAAAGACCCCGUGGACCUUUACUACAGCUUGACACUGCUACUUGGAUAAGAAUGUGCAGGAUAGGUGGGAGGCUUUGAGUAUAUGACGCCAGUUGUAUAUGAGCCAUUGUUGAGAUACCACUCUUUCUUAUUUGGGUAGCUAACCAGCUUGAGUUAUCCUCAAGUGGGACAAUGUCUGGUGGGUAGUUUGACUGGGGCGGUCGCCUCCCAAAUAAUAACGGAGGCUUACAAAGGUUGGCUCAGAACGGUUGGAAAUCGUUCGUAGAGUAUAAAGGUAUAAGCCAGCUUAACUGCAAGACAUACAAGUCAAGCAGAGACGAAAGUCGGUCUUAGUGAUCCGGUGGUUCUGUGUGGAAGGGCCAUCGCUCAAAGGAUAAAAGGUACCCCGGGGAUAACAGGCUGAUCUCCCCCAAGAGCUCACAUCGACGGGGAGGUUUGGCACCUCGAUGUCGGCUCAUCGCAUCCUGGGGCUGGAGUAGGUCCCAAGGGUAUGGCUGUUCGCCAUUUAAAGCGGUACGCGAGCUGGGUUCAGAACGUCGUGAGACAGUUCGGUCCCUAUCUGCCGUGGGCGUAAGAAGAUUGAAGAGAUUUGACCCUAGUACGAGAGGACCGGGUUGAACAAACCACUGGUGUAGCUGUUGUUCUGCCAAGAGCAUCGCAGCGUAGCUAAGUUUGGAAAGGAUAAACGCUGAAAGCAUCUAAGCGUGAAGCCAACUCUAAGAUGAAUCUUCUCUAAGCUCUCUAGAAGACUACUAGUUUGAUAGGCUGGGUGUGUAAUGGAUGAAAGUCCUUUAGCUGACCAGUACUAAUAGAGCGUUUGGCUUAUCU
rnacentral:rRNA from 1 species